rnacentral:rRNA from 1 species
AGAGACCGGCGCACGGGUGCGUAACGCGUAUGCAAUCUACCUUUCACAGAGGGAUAGCCCAGAGAAAUUUGGAUUAAUACCUCAUAGUAUAGCAGUUUCGCAUGAAACCACUAUUAAAGUCACAACGGUGAAAGAUGAGCAUGCGUCCCAUUAGUUAGUUGGUAAGGUAACGGCUUACCAAGACUACGAUGGGUAGGGGUCCUGAGAGGGAGAUCCCCCACACUGGUACUGAGACACGGACCAGACUCCUACGGGAGGCAGCAUUGAGGAAUAUUGGACAAUGGGCGCAAGCCUGAUCCAGCCAUGCCGCGUGCAGGAUGACGGUCCUAUGGAUUGUAAACUGCUUUUAUACAGGAAGAAACACUCGGACGUGUCCGAGCUUGACGGUACUGUAGGAAUAAGGAUCGGCUAACUCCGUGCCAGCAGCCGCGGUAAUACGGAGGGUGCAAGCGUUAUCCGGAUUUACUGGGUUUAAAGGGUGCGUAGGUGGGUCGGUAAGUCAGCGGUGAAAUCUUCGAGCUUAACUCGGAAACUGCCAUUGAUA